UCGAACAUGGCAGCAGUAGGAAACAACGGAAAGAAAAUCGGCUUCCAUCACGGAAAAUUGUGCCUAGACAAAACGCCGUAGGGCCAGUCAGUCUUGGGACAAGUUCAUUCUGUAUCAUUUUAUGUCACCUCCAAUUGGUAUGUGUAAGCUCAAGGCAAUUGCUUCGAGAAGAUAUCUUGAGCUGCUGUACUUGUUUUCAUCAGACAACUGUGCCAGUUUCUGCCGUAGCAGCAACUAACUACAAUAAGAACAAAGGCCAACUUGGCCAGCCAACAGCUGUAGAGAUUGUGAUCCACUUUGUCAUCCGGAAACACCGCACUGUAUCAUUGGACCGUAAAGAACCUUCGUCAGGAAAGAAAUCUUUCUUUGGCCAGUAAACUGUGUUCGAGCUCCACCACCUACAUUUUGUGGCUUGUGGAACUAGUUACUCGGUGCCAUUAUCAACUGGAAGCUGGUUGUGGAUAUUGAGAGACAUGUGUGAAUAGGACUGCGUGACGUACAUGGUGAAUUAUUGGCGUGCUAAGGCCAGUGCACCCUGGUAUUGGUCGGUCGAAUACUAACCUAGUGAUCUAGAUUUUCAAAGAAAAAAAAGAAACGGUGGAAUCUUACUUCUAAUCAGACAAAUAUCCUCCUAUUCGUUUUCAGUUAUAUAUCAGAGAUUUCUAGCUCAUAUCAAAACCAUAUGUAAUAAAUGUAUAAAUAAACAUUUGAUCAUUAACGCUCCAUCGACACGUGGCAGAAUGCCGUUCUA